CCUACGGGAGGCAGCAGUGGGGAAUUUUGGACAAUGGGCGCAAGCCUGAUCCAGCCAUGCCGCGUGUGUGAAGAAGGCCUUCGGGUUGUAAAGCACUUUCGGCCGGAACGAAAUCGCGCGGGCUAUUACCCCGCGUGGAUGACGGUACCGGAAGAAGAAGCACCGGCUAACUACGUGCCAGCAGCCGCGGUAAUACGUAGGGUGCGAGCGUUAAUCGGAAUUACUGGGCGUAAAGGGUGCGCAGGCGGCGUCGCAAGUCAGGCGUGAAAUCCCCGGGCUUAACCUGGGAAUUGCACUUGAAACUACGAUGCUGGAGCAUGGCAGAGGGAGGUGGAAUUCCACGUGUAGCGGUGAAAUGCGUAGAGAUGUGGAGGAACACCGAUGGCGAAGGCAGCCUCCUGGGCCAAUACUGACGCUCAUGCACGAAAGCGUGGGGAGCAAACAGGAUUAGAUACCCUGGUAGUCCACGCCCUAAACGAUGAUGACUAGUUGUUGGAGGAGUUAAAUCCUUUAGUAACGCAGCUAAUGCGAGAAGUCAUCCGCCUGGGGAGUACGGUCGCAAGAUUGAAACUCAAAGGAAUUGACGG
rnacentral:rRNA from 1 species